rnacentral:rRNA from 1 species
AUUGAACGCUGGCGGCAGGCCUAACACAUGCAAGUCGAGCGGAUGAAGGGAGCUUGCUCCUGGAUUCAGCGGCGGACGGGUGAGUAAUGCCUAGGAAUCUGCCUGGUAGUGGGGGAUAACGUCCGGAAACGGGCGCUAAUACCGCAUACGUCCUGAGGGAGAAAGUGGGGGAUCUUCGGACCUCACGCUAUCAGAUGAGCCUAGGUCGGAUUAGCUAGUUGGUGGGGUAAAGGCCUACCAAGGCGACGAUCCGUAACUGGUCUGAGAGGAUGAUCAGUCAACAGGGAAGGGAGCAAGGGUCCAAACCCUAAGGGGAGGCCGAGGGGGGGAAUAUUGGAAAAGGGGGAAAAGCCGGACCCAGCCAUGCCGGGUGUGUGAAGAAGGUUUGCGGAUUGUAAAGCACUUUAAGUUGGGAGGAAGGGCAGUAAGUUAAAACCUUGCUGUUUGGACGUUCCCAACAGAAAAAGCACCGCUAACCUUCUU